GGUAAGGCUGUGCCAGCGGCCGGGGUAAGACGGGGGGUGGAAGCGUUAGUCGGAUUCACUGGGGUUAAAGGGUGCGGAGGUGGAUAUUUAAGUCAGUGGUGAAAGCCCGCGGCUCAACCGUGGAAUUGCCAUUGAAACUGAAUAGCUUGAGUACAGUUGAAGUGGGCGGAAUACAUCAUGUAGCGGUGAAAUGCUUAGAUAUGAUGUAGAACACCGAUUGCGAAGGCAGCUCACUAAGCUGUAACUGACACUGAGGCACGAAAGCGUGGGUAGCGAACAGGAUUAGAUACCCCAGUAGUC
rnacentral:rRNA from 1 species